UCUUCUCCAGAUGAUUGCAUAGUUCGAGGUCAGUAUAUGUCAGGCAGGUGUGAGUAGUUCCUGUUCCAGUAGCCGCCGGUGUAGAGCCAGUCUG